rnacentral:rRNA from 1 species
GGAGGCAGCAGUAGGGAAUCUUCCGCAAUGGACGAAAGUCUGACGGAGCAACGCCGCGUGAGUGAUGAAGGUUUUCGGAUCGUAAAGCUCUGUUGUUAGGGACGAACAAGUACCGUUCGAAUAGGGCGGUACCUUGACGGUACCUAACCAGAAAGCCACGGCUAACUACGUGCCAGCAGCCGCGGUAAUACGUAGGUGGCGAGCGUUGUCCGGAAUUAUUGGGCGUAAAGGGCUCGCAGGCGGUUUCUUAAGACUGAUGUGAAAGCCCCCGGCUCAACCGGGGAGGGUCAUUGGAAACUGGGGAACUUGAGUGCAGAAGAGGAGAGUGGAAUUCCACGUGUAGCGGUGAAAUGCGUAGAGAUGUGGAGGAACACCAGUGGCGAAGGCGACUCUCUGGUCUGUAACAGACGCUGAGGAGCGAAAGCGUGGGGAGCGAACAGGAUUAGAUACCCUGGUAGUCCACGCCGUAAACGAUGAGUGCUAAGUGUUAGGGGGUUUCCGCCCCUUAGUCCCUGCAGCUUAC